GAUGAACGCUGGCGGCGUGCCUAAUACAUGCAAGUCGAACGAAGAACCUUUCGGGGUUCUUAGUGGCGAACGGGUGAGUAAUACAUAAGCAACCUGCCCCUAUGUUUGGGAUAACUAUUGGAAACGAUAGCUAAUACCGGAUACGAGUAAUUCUGGCAUCUGAAAUACUUAAAAGAUGGGAUACAUCGCAAAGGGAUGGGCUUAUGGCGCAUUAGCUAGUUGGUGAGGUAACGGCUNACCAAGGCGAUGAUGCGUAGCCGAUUUGAGAGGAUGAACGGCCACAUUGGGACUGAGACACGGCCCAGACUCCUACGGGAGGCAGCAGUAGGGAAUUUUCGGCAAUGGGCGAAAGCCUGACCGAGCAACGCCGCGUUGAGUG
rnacentral:rRNA from 1 species